rnacentral:rRNA from 1 species
UGGGGAAUAUUGCACAAUGGGCGCAAGCCUGAUGCAGCCAUGCCGCGUGUAUGAAGAAGGCCUUCGGGUUGUAAAGUACUUUCAGCGAGGAGGAAGGCGUUGUGGUUAAUAACCGCAACGAUUGACGUUACUCGCAGAAGAAGCACCGGCUAACUCCGUGCCAGCAGCCGCGGUAAUACGGAGGGUGCAAGCGUUAAUCGGAAUUACUGGGCGUAAAGCGCACGCAGGCGGUCUGUCAAGUCGGAUGUGAAAUCCCCGGGCUCAACCUGGGAACUGCAUUCGAAACUGGCAGGCUAGAGUCUUGUAGAGGGGGGUAGAAUUCCAGGUGUAGCGGUGAAAUGCGUAGAGAUCUGGAGGAAUACCGGUGGCGAAGGCGGCCCCCUGGACAAAGACUGACGCUCAGGUGCGAAAGCGUGGGGAGCAAACA